GAUGAACGCUGGCGGCGUGCCUAAUACAUGCAAGUCGAGCGAACGGACGAGAAGCUUGCUUCUCUGAUGUUAGCGGCGGACGGGUGAGUAACACGUGGAUAACCUACCUAUAAGACUGGGAUAACUUCGGGAAACCGGAGCUAAUACCGGAUAAUAUUUUGAACCGCAUGGUUAAAAAGUGAAAGACGGUCUUGCUGUCACUUAUAGAUGGAUCCGCACUGCAUUAGCUAGUUGGUAAGGUAACGGCUUACCAAGGCAACGAUGCAUAGCCGACCUGAGAGGGUGAUCGGCCACACUGGAACUGAGACACGGUCCAGACUCCUACGGGAGGCAGCAGUAGGGAAUCUUCCGCAAUGGGCGAAAGCCUGACGGAGCAACGCCGCGUGAGUGAUGAAGGUCUUCGGAUCGUAAAACUCUGUUAUUAGGGAAGAACAUAUGUGUAAGUAACUGUGCACAUCUUGACGGUACCUAAUCAGAAAGCCACGGCUAACUACGUG
rnacentral:rRNA from 1 species